rnacentral:rRNA from 1 species
UACGUAGGUGGCAAGCGUUGUCCGGAAUUAUUGGGCGUAAAGCGCGCGCAGGCGGUUCCUUAAGUCUGAUGUGAAAGCCCACGGCUCAACCGUGGAGGGUCAUUGGAAACUGGGGAACUUGAGUGCAGAAGAGGAAAGUGGAAUUCCACGUGUAGCGGUGAAAUGCGUAGAGAUGUGGAGGAACACCAGUGGCGAAGGCGACUUUCUGGUCUGUAACUGACGCUGAGGCGCGAAAGCGUGGGGAGCAAACAGG